rnacentral:rRNA from 1 species
AUACCGAGGCUGUCGAUCGAGCGAGCUUGCUCGCGAAGUGACUGAACGGGGUUCCAGGAAAAGCCACUAAGCUUCAGCUGUACACGACCGUACCGCAAACCGACACUGGUGCGCGAGAUGAGUAUUCUAAGGCGCUUGAGAGAACUCUGGAGAAGGAACUCGGCAAAUUAACACCGUAACUUCGGAAGAAGGUGUGCCCUAGUAAUGUGGUAUGAACAAUUGAGCAUGAACGGGCUGCAAUAAAUAGGUGGCUGCGACUGUUUAUCAAAAACACAGCACUCUGCAAACACGAAAGUGGACGUAUAGGGUGUGACGCCUGCCCGGUGCUGGAAGAUUAAUUGAUGGGGUGCAAGCUCUUGAUCGAAGUCCCAGUAAACGGCGGCCGUAACAAUAACGGUCCUAAGGUAGCGAAAUUCCUUGUCGGGUAAGUUCCGACCUGCACGAAUGGCGUAACGAUGGCCACACUGUCUCCUCCAGAGACUCAGCGAAGUUGAAAUGUUUGUGAUGAUGCAAUCUCCCCGCGGAAAGACGGAAAGACCCCAUGAACCUUUACUGUAGCUUUGUAUUGGACUUUGAACAGAUCUGUGUAGGAUAGGUGGGAGGCUUUGAAGUGCGGUCGCUAGAUCGCAUGGAGCCAACGUUGAAAUACCACCCUGGUGUGUUUGAGGUUCUAACCUAGGCCCAUUAUCUGGGUCGGGGACAGUGCAUGGUAGGCAGUUUGACUGGGGCGGUCUCCUCCCAAAGUGUAACGGAGGAGUUCGAAGGUACGCUAGUUACGGUCGGACAUCGUGACGAUAGUGCAAUGGCAUAAGCGUGCUUAACUGCGAGACUGACAAGUCGAGCAGAUGCGAAAGCAGGACAUAGUGAUCCGGUGGUUCUGUAUGGAAGGGCCAUCGCUCAACGGAUAAAAGGUACUCUGGGGAUAACAGGCUGAUACCGCCCAAGAGUUCAUAUCGACGGCGGUGUUUGGCACCUCGAUGUCGGCUCAUCUCAUCCUGGGGCUGUAGCCGGUCCCAAGGGUAUGGCUGUUCGCCAUUUAAAGAGGUACGUGAGCUGGGUUCAAAACGUCGUGAGACAGUUUGGUCCCUAUCUUCCGUGGGCGCUGCAGAUUUGGGAAAGCCUGCUCCUAGUACGAGGGGACCGGAGUGGACGCACCGCUGGUGUACCUGUUGUCACGCCCGUGGCAUCGCAGGGUAGCUAAGUGCGGAAGAGAUAACCGCUGAAAGCAUCUAAGCGG